UUAGAUACCCCGGUAGUCCUGGCCGUAAACGAUGGGUACUAGGUGUAGGAGGUAUCGACCCNUUCUGUGCCGGAGUUAACGCAAUAAGUACCCCGCCUGGGGAGUACGACCGCAAGGUUGAAACUCAAAGGAAUUGACGGGGGCCCGCACAAGCGGUGGAGUAUGUGGUUUAAUUCGACGCAACGCGAAGAACCUUACCAGGUCUUGACAUUGAUGGACAGAACUAGAGAUAGUUCCUCUUCUUCGGAAGCCAGAAAACAGGUGGUGCACGGUUGUCGUCAGCUCGAGUCGUGAGAUGUUGGGUUAANNNNNNCAACGAGCGCAACCCCUAUCUUAUGUUGCCAGCACGUAAUGGUGGGAACUCAUGAGAGACUGCCGCAGACAAUGCGGAGGAAGGCGGGGAUGACGUCAAAUCAUCAUGCCCCUUAUGACCUGGGCUACACACGUACUACAAUGGGAGUUAAUAGACGGAAGCGAGAUCGCGAGAUGGAGCAAACCCGAGAAACACUCUCUCAGUUCGGAUCGUAGGCUGCAACUCGCCUACGUGAAGUCGGAAUCGCUAGUAAUCGCAGGUCAGCAUACUGCGGUGAAUACGUUCCCGGGCCU
rnacentral:rRNA from 1 species